rnacentral:rRNA from 1 species
UGGGGAAUAUUGGACAAUGGGCGCAAGCCUGAUCCAGCAAUGCCGCGUGUGUGAAGAAGGCCCUUCGGGUUGUAAAGCACUUUUAUCAGGAGCGAAACGCUGUCGGCUAAUACCCGGCGGAACUGACGGUACCUGAGGAAUAAGCACCGGCUAACUUCGUGCCAGCAGCCGCGGUAAUACGAAGGGUGCAAGCGUUAAUCGGAAUUACUGGGCGUAAAGCGUGCGUAGGCGGUUUCUUAAGUCUGCUGUGAAAUCCCCGGGCUCAACCUGGGAAUGGCAGUGGAUACUGGGAGGCUAGAGUGUGUCAGAGGGUGGUGGAAUUCCCGGUGUAGCGGUGAAAUGCGUAGAGAUCGGGAGGAACAUCAGUGGCGAAGGCGGCCCACCUGGGACAACACUGACGCUGAGGCACGAAAGCGUGGGGGAGCAAACAGGAUUAGAUACCCUGGUAGUCCACGCCCUAAACGAUGCGAACUGGAUGUUGGUCUCAACUCGGAGAUCAGUGUCGAAGC